ensembl:lncRNA CAMTA1-AS3 CAMTA1 antisense RNA 3
AGGUUUCCCUAUGUGCAGACAUCGAGCAGAGCUACUCGUAAGGGGUCCCAACGCCUUAUGAAAUUUAAACAAUCAAGAUGAAGCCACUAACCUGUGAAAGUUCUAUUCAUCUAGUGUAGACAGCCAGGUUACAACAUGCGCCCCAGGCCCCUGGCACGGUGCUCUGUGGAGGGUGCUCGAGGCUCAGCCACCUUGCCGGCCCCUGAGCCUCCCCUCCUCUGGGGACCUUCCGCUAAGACCAGCACGUCUUCUCAUGCCCCACACAGAGCCAAGCUCCUUCCUAGCCUGCCUGGAUUCUCCUACCUGGAAUCCCCUGUCCACAUCAAUUAAAGCAACAAACAAGCCACGA